UUGAGUCUGAACGAGCACCUGACCUAAAAGUAGACGGUCGCCCUCGUUUUACAUUUACUCAUUCUUUCCAGCCUGUCAAGCAGAUUUUUUAUCGAGUAACUUCUGUGUGGCAGGAGGAAUGGAUGGGGUAAGAUACAAAGCAGAAUCAGGAGCCUUUUCAACAAAUGUGCGGGAGCAAUGGGACAUCUAUAGGCAAAAGAAGAAGAAGAAAAAACACCUCUACCUAAACCUCCCACUUUAAAUGAAAAUUCACUCCAAAUGGAUCAUAGUUUUCAAAAACUAUAUAUCCUGGCUUCUCCCUUACCUCUUUGGAACAGUUCCUCAGAGCUAUCUGAGAGACUGUCUCCCAAGCUAUAGUCAUCAGUAGGGUCAUCAAAUAAAACUU